CAGUAUGUUAUACAAUAAUAGUUCCAGUUUAUUGUAUUAUAUUAUUGGCUUUCAAGACAAUGAUUCAAGGUGAUGCAAGUACAGGCAUUCAGCAUGUCCCUAUUGCAAUUAAACUGUUGUCUCAAACUGUAUUAAAUGGACUGAGACAACUCAAAAAGGCAUCACACUGUCCAGUUCUCUUUCCAAUAUAAAACAUGUCAUCUAAAACAUGCAGUACGGUAGCUAGAAACCAAUUUCAACAAUUUGAAUGACUCACAAUACUUUGUAUAAUUUGUAAACAAUGCAGUGGAUCUCCAAAAGAAUGUGUGAGACAUUUAGUUCACUGUUUCCAGAGUCAGAUGGGGAAAUACUGACGGUUGGAAUGUUGUGUUGGAACGUUGACAGACACACCAACAGACAGUGUGCAGGUCCGUUCAAGACAGAAAAUACAAUCUCUAAAGCUGUAAGAUAAAAAAAACACACAGUGGUAGAACAUCAUGUUUUGUAAACUAACGUCAACAAAAAGUAUCCAGGUGAGGUAAUCACUUUAAUAUAAUGGUUGUGAUAUUGCAUGUGGAUGUGCAAGAGGAUAUGAUCUUUUCAUGGCUAUAUCGGAGUUACUCUGAGUUCAGAGUUACAUCCUGAAGCAAACAUGAAGUGACGAUGGGAAAAUGUUUUGCUCGUCUUUUUUUAAAGCUGACCACAGCACCUAAUUUGAGAACUACUGCGUAUCAGCAAUGAGAUGACAUCAGUGGCCCUAACACUUACAAUCUGCUCAUGCACACCAAAAUAAAUUUUCCACCACAGUUGAGAGAUUAACCAUCAGAUUUGUUCUUCAUGCAAAUAAGCUAUGAUCACUAUGAAGCUGAACUCCACAGUGCCUGCUAUGGUGUGGAAAGAGCUGAGGUUGGAGGUCAUUCUGCUGCGUGUACCAACACAAAAGCUCACAAAACUCACCAAAAAAAAUCAGUUUAAUAGUCGUUGGUCCACAUAAAGAUGGAUAACCUCUCAAACUUAAUCUAAAUUUGCAUGCAUUUGGCUAACCUAGAAAGCAACCCAUCUGACGAACACUGCAAACAGGCCAGUCACUCAUUGGUUACCUUAAAAACCAAUGAACUAAGUGUGAACAAGCUGUUCCAGCAACAAGUGUAUAUGUCUAUCAAUUAUACCUGUUAGCUUGUGUGUCUAUGUAACCAAGGCUAGUUUUAAGAAGCACUGCAUCUAUUUCUCAUCAAUAAAGUACAAUCUUGGUAGGGUUUAACUAUCCUCAUUGUCUUGGGCGGUUAGUUAAGUUGACUCUACGACCUUAUUUCUGACAAACGCCAAUCCGUUUUAGAAGAGAGAGUCAUGGAAAUAUCAUACACCGCAUGUGUCAUCAAGAUUAGACGACCACAGGAAAUAAAAAAGCGGCAGUCGGCCUGUAGUUUGGCACUUAGACCACCUUUCAGAAAUAAAUGAGGUAUGGACUACAGAAAUAAAACAAAAUUAAAUCAAAAACCUUAAUUAUUAUAAUAUAUAAAAAAAAAAUAAAAUUAGCACUAUUUACAUAACCAUGGAAACCCAAAGAAAAAUUUACAAGGAAAACAAAACAAAAAGCACAUUCCAGUUUGAUAGUGUUAUCAUCAUUUUUGUAGGU